rnacentral:rRNA from 1 species
AUUGAACGCUGGCGGCAGGCCUAACACAUGCAAGUCGAACGGUAACAGGAAGAAGCUUGCUUCUUUGCUGACGAGUGGCGGACGGGUGAGUAAUGUCUGGGAAACUGCCUGAUGGAGGGGGAUAACUACUGGAAACGGUAGCUAAUACCGCAUAACGUCGCAAGACCAAAGAGGGGGACCUUCGGGCCUCUUGCCAUCGGAUGUGCCCAGAUGGGAUUAGCUAGUAGGUGGGGUAACGGCUCACCUAGGCGACGAUCCCUAGCUGGUCUGAGAGGAUGACCAGCCACACUGGAACUGAGACACGGUCCAGACUCCUACGGGAGGCAGCAGUGGGGAAUAUUGCACAAUGGGCGCAAGCCUGAUGCAGCCAUGCCGCGUGUAUGAAGAAGGCCUUCGGGUUGUAGAGUACUUUCAGCGGGGAGGAAGGGAGUAAAGUUAAUACCUUUGCUCAUUGACGUUACCCGCAGAAGAAGCACCGGCUAACUCCGUG